UACGUAGGUGGCAAGCGUUGUCCGGAUUUACUGGGCGUAAAGGGCGUGCAGGCGGUUUGUUAAGUGCAGGGUGAAAGCUCCCGGCUCAACUGGGAGAGGUCCUUGCAUACUGGCGAACUCGAGGGAGGCAGAGGAAAGUGGAAUUCCCGGUGUAGUGGUGAUAUGCGUAGAUAUCGGGAGGAACACCUGUGGCGAAGGCGGCUUUCUGGGCCUCACCUGACGCUGAGACGCGAAAGCGUGGGGAGCGAACCGG
rnacentral:rRNA from 1 species